AGCAGUAUAGCAGUACAGUAGGUCGAACAUUUUGCCUGAAUUUGUUGCACUGUAUCGACUUGCCUGAUCUGGCUGGUUUGCCUGAAAUUCUUGUACUGACACGACCUCUCCCCGACUCCAGAGCACUGGCAGGUAGCCUCGUAGAUUUUCAAUCAGCUGAUCUCACAUACUAUACACUGCCACAAAAUGGGUCCAAAAAAUCGCAAAAAGUUUAUUUGCGUAAAAUGUGAGCGAAAAUUUCUCACAGAGAACGCAGCCUGGACACACAUAUCAUUUGAGCAUCCAGGGAACCCAGAUUUAUCCGUAGAAAUACAAUGCUGUAACUGUAAUCAACAAUUUUUAAAUUUAUCAGAACAUGACCAACAUGUGCUUGAAAUACACCAUGAGAAACAAAUAGAACCAGAACCAACUCUUUGCAUUAGCGGCGAUGAAACACCUAUUUGUAAAUCCAAAUAUAAAUAUUAUUGUUCUCUCUGCAGUAGAAAGUUUGGUUCAGAGAAUGCGCUAUGGACCCAUGCAGCUUUUAAGCAUGUAGACAAUUGUCAAGAUCUUUCUACGCAAUAUUACUGUGAUCCGUGUAAACUAGUUUUUGAAUCGUUGCAGGAGUUUAAUCAGCAUCAGGAGAUCUCUUUAGAACCUAAUAAUGCAGAGUCACCUGCAGAUUUUGAUCCCAGAGAGAACGGGUCCAAGGUUCCGGUUCAGGAACGAGAUUUGUCGUCGGAGAUAUUGCUCAUGUCAACUAUAUUAACCAAUGACCUGCUGGAAGAGCAUGUCGGGGUACUGGAGCGGAAGGUUGAGUACUUGGAGGAGUAUAUGAGAAACCUGAUGAGCAAUUUAUUGAGUAUACCUGAACCCAGCCCUUCUCCUGAUAUUGUUCGACCUAGGAUGGAAAGACGGGAUAGCCUUGAAGACCAUAAUUAUAGCUGUGAGAGUCCUAUGCCCCUGGAGGACCCGGAAAACCAGGAUGUUGAAGAAGAAGACCGACGGACGGAGCUGAGUAUGGGAAUAGAGUUCGGAGAAACAAUAUGUGAAGGAUCCUACCUCGAGGUUUGUAGAGAGGAAACCGUCGUGGAUACACCUCACCAGGAGGAACAGGAGAUGGAUACAGAUCAGGUUCUUCAGGAUAUCCGGCUCCAGAUACAUCAUCUGGAUAUACCUACCUUGGAAAACCUAGUUAAUUCUGAUCUUCAAACUUUUGAUUUACCUUUCUAUGAUCUACCUGAUUCUACAGUACAAGAUACAUUAGAUGAAUCCCAAGCUGAAACUAAGACCCGGAGAAAACUAUCCCGGAGCCGAGCACUGCCAACCCAGGAUGCGGAGGGAGGAAUGGAAACUGGAAGAAAACGUUCUCAAUCCCGUCCUACCCUAGCAUCAGCGUAAUAAUAUUCAAUCAGUCAUCUUUUCUAAGAAUUCAGAUAGGACUCGACCUUCCUGCAGAAUGGAUGAUCGCGGUCACAGCACCUUGAUGGAAUGAUUUCAAAUCAUUUUUUCGAAAUCAUUAGGUUCAUAAUAAUUAAUAACGUUUUGCCGUGUACAAAGUUUUUAAAUGAUUUAAGUUUUAUUUCCAAUGACUUGGAACUUGGUAGUGAUCAAUUUUCUCUAUUUGAAUAACACAAUAGUCACAUUUUAGAAAAAUAGUUAAGCAAAUGUUUUCUCACAUUUUUUUUUAUGAUAUUGAAGUUUUAAGAACGUAAAUUGUUUUCAAGAAGGCAAGGUGUCAAACGUUUUAUUACAAGAAUAUCUAUUUAGAAAUCUGUACCUGUUUUUUUUAUAAAAACAGUAAAUAAAUACCCCUCCCCCUUGCCAAGAAAAAAACUGCGUACCCCAAUUGUUAUUUCCUGGUCAUUGAAGAAUAUAUUGUUAAAAUUUUUCCUAUUUAUUUAUACUUAUCCUAAAUCCAACAUUAAAUCACUAAAUUGCUCCUAUUUAAGCAUUUUGAUAUUGUUAUUUAGAUCAAAAAAGGAAGUUUUUAAAACAUAGAUACCUCUCUCAGCUCUCUCCUCUAAUUAUAAUAAGAUUUUUUUUCACAAAGAAAUAAUAAAAAAUGACUCGUUAAAUGUUACAGAUUUGAUAAAUGUUAUAAAUGUUUUUAGUGUUCAAAUUAAUUGCUUUUACAUCAUGUAAUACCAGUUGUAUUCGAGUAUUUUCCUAAAUUCCCCCCUUCCAUUAAGAAGGUAUGAAUCUUUAAAAUUGUUGUGUAAACAUAGAUUUGCCUGUACAACCCAUUAUUUAUACAUUUUUCAUCUUCAUACCCUAAAUGAAAGACUGUUUUUAGCAGAGAAAUAACAUAUUUCUGUGAUAAUAAAUCUUAGUCCAAUUUUUAAAAGCAACUACUGCCUGUUAAAAAUCUUCAAUCCUGUAUGUUCGGAUAAUCACAAACGACUGUCUUGUUUCUUAACUCUUAGUUCUCUUAUUAGUGUUCAGAUUUUAUUGAUAAAUGUUUCUUAUUCUGUUAGAACUCAAUAAAUUGAUUGCUGAAAC
rnacentral:misc_RNA from 1 species